rnacentral:rRNA from 1 species
CCUACGGGGAGCAGCAGUCGAGAAUCAUUCACAAUGGGGGAAACCCUGAUGGUGCGACGCCGCGUGGGGGAAUGAAGGUCUUCGGAUUGUAAACCCCUGUCAUGUGGGAGCAAAUUAAAAAGAUAGUACCACACGAGGAAGAGACGGCUAACUCUGUGCCAGCAGCCGCGGUAAUACAGAGGUCUCAAGCGUUGUUCGGAAUCACUGGGCGUAAAGCGUGCGUAGGCUGUUUCGUAAGUCGUGUGUGAAAGGCGCGGGCUCAACCCGCGGACGGCACAUGAUACUGCGAGACUAGAGUAAUGGAGGGGGAACCGGAAUUCGCGGUGUAGCAGUGAAAUGCGUAGAUAUCGAGAGGAACACUCGUGGCGAAGGCGGGUUCCUGGACAUUAACUGACGCUGAGGCACGAAGGCCAGGGGAGCGAAAGGGAUUAGAUACCCUAGUAGUC